GGCACAGUGGACAACAUCUAAAGAUGCUCUUACUUAGGUUUAUGUGAAUUUGAAUGAAUUGCGAUUCCUUCGAUCCUUCUUGCCCAAUGUCCAUGGAUUCACUCUUGCUCGCCGUCACCCAACCACCCCCUGAAAUCUGCGAUGACAAGCGGCUGAAAUCGGUACCGGAUAAGCUAUCGGAACUGGUACUGGAACCAUAUAUUGCAUCGGUACCGGAUAAGCGGCUGAACCGGAACCGAAACCGAAACCGGAACCGAAAUUGGGACCACAAUUUGAUACGGAAUUGGAACAGGAAUCGGAAUCGGAACCGGAAUUGGACCCGAGAUCGGAUUGAGAGUUAAUACCAAUUGAAAAGCUGACGGUGAAUGAUUUGGCUAGCCGUUAUGACGAUGACCCUUCUCUUUUUUGUUUUGGAUGUCCGCAAUUUGUGUAUAAGAAUAAAGCCUAUCUUAAAAGUGAGGAGGAGAUAGCCAAAGUCCGGGCUGAGUAUUUUAAGCUCUCUCGUAGCAUAUCUCCCUUCGAUGCUAUUCCUGUUCCACCCUUAGCAAUUGCAUGUGGCAGUAACUUUACCCGUCCCCAACGUCGCCCUCUUCUUACUUACCUCUCCAAUCGUGCUCUGAAAAAGUUUAAUGCUAAGAAUAAGGGUUCAAAUUAUGUGUUUGAUGAACUUGUCAAGGCAACCUCUCGGCAAAUUCCUUGUGUUACAUAUUACAUUACCUUUAAAGCAAAAGAUGAUGCCCAUCCUCAUACUUCCGACAGCCCUGCGACAACUUUCCAGGCCCACGUCUGGAGGAAGCUGUCUAGAAAGUCUAUGGUCAAGUCGUGUUCCAUUAAAACCUAACACCCACACCAUGGUACAUGGCUAACUACAUACAUAACACAGGUUACUAGCUCUACCUUCAACGAGUCACAACUCACAAUACAGGAAAUCAUGUCCAUUGCAUUGCAUCUACACGUUGUGAAACUGGUUUUGGUUGCGUUAGACUGACAUGUCGAGGUGAAAGCGUGGACAGACUUCCGGGUGUAUUUUAAUUUGUUGGUGUAGCAGUGGUUUAUCAUGUUUCUUAUUUAAUUUUCAUUUGUAAGUUUCUUUCCAGGAGGGAAGCAUUAUCAGUUUUAUGAAAACAAUAAAUUUUAGUAAGUCAGCAAGUAUACUUUUAAUUUUUUGUACCAAAAAGCUAAAAAACCUACCACUUAAUUGGUAAAUCCAUUUAUCUUGUUUUGUCAUUUUUAGUCUCUGAAUAACCAUAGCGAGAGCUUUGUAAGCAAUAAAAACUAUUCAGACAAAAUUAAUAAAUAAA